rnacentral:tRNA from 1 species
GCCGGGGUGGCGGAACAGGCAGACGCAGGGGACUUAAAAUCCCCGGGACUAUGUCCAUGCGGGUUCGAGUCCCGCCUCCGGCA